rnacentral:rRNA from 1 species
UACGUAGGGCGCAAGCGUUGUCCGGAAUUAUUGGGCGUAAAGAGCUCGUAGGCGGUCUGUUGCGUCCGCUGUGAAAACUCGGGGCUUAACCCCGAGCCUGCAGUGGAUACGGGCAGACUAGAGGUAGGUAGGGGAGAAUGGAAUUCCCGGUGUAGCGGUGAAAUGCGCAGAUAUCGGGAGGAAGACCAGUGGCGAAGGCGGGUCUCUGGACAGUUCCUGACGCUGAGGCACGAAGGCCAGGGGAGCAAACGGG